rnacentral:rRNA from 1 species
GAUGAACGCUGGCGGCGUGCCUAAUACAUGCAAGUCGAGCGAACAGACGAGAAGCUUGCUUCUCUGAUGUUAGCGGCGGACGGGUGAGUAACACGUGGAUAACCUACCUAUAAGACUGGGAUAACUUCGGGAAACCGUAGCUAAUACCGGAUAAUAUUUUGAACCGCAUGGUUCAAAAGUGAAAGACGGUCUUGCUGUCACUUCUAGAUGGAUCCGCGCUGCAUUAGCUAGUUGGUAAGGUAACGGCUUACCAAGGCAACGAUGCAUAGCCGACCUGAGAGGGUGAUCGGCCACACUGGAACUGAGACACGGUCCAGACUCCUACGGGAGGCAGCAGUAGGGAAUCUUCCGCAAUGGGCGAAAGCCUGACGGAGCAACGCCGCGUGAGUGAUGAAGGUCUUCGGAUCGUAAAACUCUGUUAUUAGGGAAGAACAUAUGUGUAAGUAACUGUGCACAUCUUGACGGUACCUAAUCAGAAAGCCACGGCUAACUACGUG